UUUAGUCACAUGGAUGGGAAGACGAGAGACAUUUUCCCUUAAUUAGAAAUGGUGAGUCCAAAAACUGUUUUCUGCCAAAGUUUUCAUUCAACAGAUACUCACAGAAGCCCAACUGGUGCUGGGCUCCAUGCUGAGCUUUGUGAGGGCAGGAGGGAGAGUGAGGAGAGGCAACCACGCAUAAGAAGAUAGAAGGUCUGGUCUCUGCCCUCAAGCAGAUGUGAUAAGCCAAAGAUGGCCCCACCUGGACCUGCCAACCAGUUCUGUGGCCCCAACACAGGAACUGACUCAGCACAAGACAACGGCUUCAACUCCCUGUGACUUCAUCCCUGAGCUAACCAAUCAACAUUCCCGAUUCACUGGACCCCUACCCACCAAAUUAUCCUUAAAAACUCUGAUCCCCAGGUUUUCAGAGAGACUGAUUUGAGUAAUAAUAAAACUCAUCUCCUGCAUAGACA
rnacentral:lncRNA from 10 species